CUAAUACAUGCAGUCGAACGGGAUUGGAGAGCUUGCUUUCCAUGAGAGUGGCGUACGGGUGCGUAACGCGUAUGCAACCUACCUCAAUCAGGGGGAUAGCCCGAAGAAAUUCGGAUUAACACCGCAUAAAACCACAGACUGGCAUCAGUUAAUGGUCCUUAUUUAUAGGAUUGAGAUGGGCAUGAUUGUCUUUAUCUAGUUGGUAAGG
rnacentral:rRNA from 1 species